CAGCUGCAACUCGACUGCACGAAGCUGGAAUCGCUAGUAAUCGCGGAUCAGCACGCCGCGGUGAAUACGUUCCCGGGCCUUGUACACGCCGCCCGUCACACCAUGGAAGUCUGCAAUGCCCGAAGCCGGUGGCCUAACCACUUAUGUGGAAGGAGCCGUCUAAGGCAGGGCAGAUGACUGGGGUGAAGUCGUAACAAGGUACC
rnacentral:rRNA from 1 species